rnacentral:rRNA from 1 species
AAACUCGUAUUAAUACCGCAUACGACCUACGGGAGAAAGGGGGCAGUUUACUGCUCUCGCUAUUAGAUGAGCCUAAGUCGGAUUAGCUAGAUGGUGGGGUAAAGGCCUACCAUGGCGACGAUCUGUAGCUGGUCUGAGAGGAUGAUCAGCCACACCGGGACUGAGACACGGCCCGGACUCCUACGGGAGGCAGCAGUGGGGAAUAUUGGACAAUGGGGGAAACCCUGAUCCAGCCAUGCCGCGUGUGUGAAGAAGGCCUUUUGGUUGUAAAGCACUUUAAGCAGUGAAGAAGACUCCAUGGUUAAUACCCAUGGACGAUGACAUUAGCUGCAGAAUAAGCACCGGCUAACUCUGUGCCAGCAGCCGCGGUAAUACAGAGGGUGCAAGCGUUAAUCGGAAUUACUGGGCGUAAAGGGAGCGUAGGUGGCUCUAUAAGUCAGAUGUGAAAUCCCCAGGCUUAACCUGGGAACUGCAUCUGAAACUGUAGAGCUAGAGUAUGUGAGAGGAAGGUAGAAUUCCAGGUGUAGCGGUGAAAUGCGUAGAGAUCUNGNGAGGNANAUNACNCGAUGGCGAAGGCAGCCUUCUGGCAUAAUACUGACACUGAGGCUCGAAAGCGUGGGUAGCAAACAGGAUUAGAUACCCUGGUAGUCCACGCCGUAAACGAUGUCUACUAGUCGUUGGGUCCCUUGAGGACUUAGUGACGCAGCUAACGCAAUAAGUAGACCGCCUGGGGAGUACGGCCGCAANGGUUAAAACUCAAAUGAAUUGACGGGGGCCCGCACAAGCGGUGGAGCAUGUGGUUUAAUUCGAUGCAACGCGAAGAACCUUACCUGGUCUUGACAUAUCUAGAAUCCUGCAGAGAUGCGGGAGUGCCUUCGGGAAUUAGAAUACAGGUGCUGCAUGGCUGUCGUCAGCUCGUGUCGUGAGAUGUUGGGUUAAGUCCCGCAACGAGCGCAACCCUUGUCCUUAGUUACCAGCGGGUUAAGCCGGGAACUCUAAGGAUACUGCCAGUGACAAACUGGAGGAAGGCGGGGACGACGUCAAGUCAUCAUGGCCCUUACGACCAGGGCUACACACGUGCUACAAUGGUAGGUACAGAGGGCAGCUACGCAGCGAUGUGAUGCGAAUCUCAAAAAGCCUAUCGUAGUCCAGAUUGGAGUCUGCAACUCGACUCCAUGAAGUAGGAAUCGCUAGUAAUCGCGGAUCAGAAUGCCGCGGUGAAUA